rnacentral:rRNA from 1 species
UACGAAGGUCCCAAGUGUUGUUCGGAUUUACUGGGCGUAAAGCGUCUGUAGGCGGUGGGGUAAGUCAGAUGUGAAAUCCCGAGGCUCAACCUCGGAACUGCAUCCGAUACUGCCUCACUAGAGGGUCGGAGGGGAGUCUGGAAUUCUCGGUGUAGCAGUGAAAUGCGUGGAUAUCGAGAGGAACACCAACGGCGAAGGCAAGACUCUGGACGACACCUGACGCUGAGAGACGAAGGCCGGGGUAGCGAAAAGG